UCCGUGACGGCGUGCCUUUUGCAUAAUGAGCCUACGAGUUACCGUUGCUAGCAAGGUUAAGGACUUCAGGUCCGGAUCCGUAGCGAAAGCGAGUCUGAAUAGGGCGCUUUAGUUAGUAGUGGUAGACGCGAAACCGUGUGAUCUACCCAUGGGCAGGUUGAAGCUGUAGUAACAUACAGUGGAGGCCCGAACCGGUUGACGUUGAAAAGUCUUCGGAUGACCUGUGGGUAGGGGUGAAAGGCCAAUCAAACUCGGAAAUAGCUCGUACUCCCCGAAAUGCAUUUAGGUGCAGCGUCGGUUUAGUUUUAUAGAGGUAGAGCUACUGAUUGGAUGCGGGGGCUUCACCGCCUACCAAUUCCUGACAAACUCCGAAUGCUAUAAAAUGAUGACCGGCAGUGAGGGCAUGGGUGCUAAGGUCCAUGUCCGAGAGGGAAAGAACCCAGACCAUCAGCUAAGGUCCCCAAAUGUAUGUUAAGUUGAAUAAACGAGGUUGAACUGCUUAGACAGCUAGGAUGUUGGCUUGGAAGCAGCCAUUCAUUUAAAGAGUGCGUAACAGCUCACUAGUCGAGCGGUUCGGCAUGGAUAAUAAUCGGGCAUAAACAUACUACCGAAGCUAUGGACUUGUAAAAGUGGUAGGGGAGCAUUGUAGUGUCGUCGAAGGUGAAGCGUGAGCUUUGCUGGAGAAGCUACAAAAGAAAAUGUAGGCAUAAGUAACGAUAAUGCGGGCGAGAAACCCGCACUCCGAAAGACUAAGGUUUCCUCAGCUAUGCUAAUCAGCUGAGGGUUAGUCGGGACCUAACGCGAACCCGAAAGGGGUAGUGGAUGGACAACGGGUUAAUAUUCCCGUACCUGCUCACGCUAAAAGUGACGGAGGCGUAUAUUUGGUGCGAACUGACGGAAUAGUUCGUUGAAGGGAGCGGUAACGCCCCGAUAGUACACUGAGGCUACGGCCAAGGUGAUAAUCCAGAGAAGCGACUUCCAAGAAAAGCAAGUGAAGCAGCCCGUACCGCAAACCGACACAGGUAGUUGGGAUGAGAAUUCUAAGGUGCUCGAGAGAUUCAUGGCUAAGGAACUAGGCAAAAUAGACGCGUAACUUCGGGAGAAGCGUCGCCUGUAGUAAUACAGGCCGCAGUGAAAAGAUCCAAGCGACUGUUUAUCAAAAACACAGGGCUCUGCUAAAUCGAAAGAUGACGUAUAGGGCCUGACACCUGCCCGGUGCUGGAAGGUUAAGUGGAGGGCUUAGAGGUUUACCUCGAAGGUCUGAAAUGAAGCCCCAGUAAACGGCGGCCGUAACAAUAACGGUCCUAAGGUAGCGAAAUUCCUUGUCGGGUAAGUUCCGACCUGCACGAAUGGCGUAACGACUUCCCCGCUGUCUCCAACAUCGACUCAGCGAAAUUGAAUUGCCUGUCAAGAUGCAGGCUUCCCGCGGUUAGACGGAAAGACCCCGUGCACCUUUACUACAGCUUCGCACUGGCAUCAGGAUUGUGAUGUGCAGGAUAGGUGGUAGGCAUCGAAACCGUGACGCUAGUCGCGGUGGAGCCUUCCUUGAGAUACCACCCUUCGCACUCUUGAUGUCUAACCGCGGCCCAUUAUCUGGGUCCGGGACCCUGCGUGGCGGGUAGUUUGACUGGGGCGGUCGCCUCCUAAAGCGUAACGGAGGCGCGCGAAGGUUGGCUCAGAGCGGUCGGAAAUCGCUCGUUGAGUGCAAUGGCAAAAGCCAGCCUGACUGCGAGACUGACAAGUCGAGCAGAGACGAAAGUCGGCCAUAGUGAUCCGGUGGUCCCGAGUGGAAGGGCCAUCGCUCAACGGAUAAAAGGUACGCCGGGGAUAACAGGCUGAUACUGCCCAAGAGUCCAUAUCGACGGCAGUGUUUGGCACCUCGAUGUCGGCUCAUCUCAUCCUGGGGCUGGAGCAGGUCCCAAGGGUACGGCUGUUCGCCGUUUAAAGAGGUACGUGAGCUGGGUUUAGAACGUCGUGAGACAGUUCGGUCCCUAUCUGCCGUGGGCGUUGGAGAAUUGAGGGAAGCUGCUCCUAGUACGAGAGGACCGGAGUGGACGAACCGCUGGUGUUCGGGUUGUCAUGCCAAUGGCAUUGCCCGGUAGCUACGUUCGGAACGGAUAACCGCUGAAAGCAUCUAAGCGGGAAGCCGGCCCAAAGAUGAGUCAUCCCUGACUUUUAAAGUCCGGAAGGGUUGUUAUAGACGAUGACGUUGAUAGGCAGGAUGUGGAAGCGUUGUAAGGCGUUAAGCUAACCUGUACUAAUUGCCCGAGAGGCUUAACC
rnacentral:rRNA from 1 species